rnacentral:rRNA from 1 species
CAGCCGCCGCGGUAAUACGUAGGUGGCAAGCGUUGUCCGGAAUUAUUGGGCGUAAAGGGCUCGCAGGCGGUUUCUUAAGUCUGAUGUGAAAGCCCCCGGCUCAACCGGGGAGGGUCAUUGGAAACUGGGAAACUUGAGUGCAGAAGAGGAGAGUGGAAUUCCACGUGUAACGGUGAAAUGCGUAGAGAUGUGGAGGAACACCAGUGGCGAAGGCGACUCUCUGGUCUGUAACUGACGCUGAGGAGCGAAAGCGUGGGGAGCGAACAGGAUUAGAUACCCCAGUAGUCCCUGUCUCUUAUAC